ensembl:lncRNA
AACAAUUUCAAUAAAAAGCACACGAGCCUUCACCAGUGUGCACUUAGGACUGAAAGGAGCAUCAGUGUGGAGCAAUGUGAAGUUUUCGGGGACUGUGUCAGCCCCAUUGGAAUCCUGCACGAGAACGCUGCGCAACCAGUAACUGUGGGAGCGCACAGACCUCCGGCUGUGCUCAUCUUCCAACAGGUUUCCUUCAGGUUUGGUGUACAGUGUGGAAAUUUGAUAAAGGCCGAUCUGAGACAAGCUGAGAUGUCAAAGCACCGCGCCCGGCCCUGGUGGCACGUCGCCGGCACCUUUCUCAACACUGGGGUUUAUUUAACAUUCUGCCAGCGGGUGGAUACACGGCGGGAGCCGCGUCGCGCGCAGAGAAUGUCCAUAAGGCCUGAAGUACCUCUACUGAGACUGGAGUUCCCUGUCAACCUUGCUGGUCCCACAUCAAGCAUCCUAGCUGAAAAAAGCCCACAAAUCAGGAAUGUUUAAAAGGGCCUCAGAUAUUAUUAUCCAGUCUAAUCUUAGUCUGCCUUUUGCUGAUUAAUCAUUAUUUUGAUGUAUGAGGGAAUAUCCACUACAGAAAUAGUAUAACUGUAAGUUGAUGUACAAUUCCUUUCUUUCCCCCUUAAUGUCUUCUAUGAUAUUCGUGUGAAUUGUGAAUAUGGAAUUGGUUUACUCAAAAAGAUUCAUAUGAUCAAGUUUUCUGUCUGUUUACUUGCUUAUAUAAAUGUUUUCAAUUUAACAAAACAAUUUAUAAUGAAUACUGUGAAACAAAUUUUAAAGAAUGAGCUCUUGAAAUAGAAAUCAUAAUAAAAAUGCUUUUCUCCCCUCCAAAAUAUUUAUUUUAACAUGUGGUCACAUUUUCACAUUAAUUGAAAUCUUACUAGGAGAGUAAAUCUUUUUCCCUUUUCUUCCCUUCUUGUAGCUUCCCAGUUCUUACACAAAUUAAAGCAUAUGCAUGCAUAACUUGUGAUUUUUAAAGCAAAUAACAUUUUGUAAAUUCAUGGUAUCAUUAAAAAGCAUUAAGUCAAACGGUAGUAUUACACAGAUCAUUUUGUAAUUUACCUUUUCAUUUUAACAAAAGAUAUAUAUUUUUGGUGAUAAUUCCUUGAUUACUGAGUUUCAUAGAAGGUUCUAAAUAUUCCUAAAUUUAGUCCUGAUCAGUUACAAAGUAAUCUUAUGUAGAUAUUCAGAAGUAGUUUAUAAGACUCUGGAAUAACAGUUCCAGAUACUGGGAACUGUCUACAACAACAAUACAACAAUACUUAUUUAUUUGGGAAGGAAACUCCUUUAUUUUAAAGGAGGUAGAUUAGGGAGUAAAGGCAGAACACCAGUACUGUAGCUCCUGGCUUCCUGUAUGGAAAGCUGCAUGCUUUUCCCAUUCAGAUUUAUAGAAACAAUUUAAAAUAAAUAGAUUAUAAAUAUCCAGUUACUUUCAAGAAACUUUUCUUGGCAACAGAAUCUAAAAUCAAGUACUAUAUCAAACAAAAUGUGAGGCAUGCCACAGAGCUUAUCUGCUUUCUCCUGAAGAAAGCUUUUUGAGCCACAAGCCUAGAGCUAGCUGAAUCACCCUGUGCUGCAGCAAGUAGAACGGCUGUAAAGAUUUUAAAUCAUUUUUAAUCGUUUUCUCUAUUAAAACUCACCAGUGCCCUUCUUCUGCUUCUCCAGGAAGUUGUACCCGUCAGCACCUGCUGAGGGCUUUGUUGAUCAAACCGGCAGGUAAAAAAAUUCCUGUAGAAUAAAGCCAGACCAGCUGGCUUUGAAGAGAAACCCCCCAGUUUGGGUUGUGUUUGCCUCACUCACCCUCUCCUCAGCAGCCCUGGGCUUUUUCUCCUUUGGUUGUUGACCUGUAGGCUGCGUGAUGCGGGCGCACAAGUGUCUGGCAGGCCAAGGUGCACCUGCUUCUGUCACUCGCAAGUAAAUUUAGCUGUAAAAGGUAUCACUGACAAGCAGACCUUUGUCAGUGCUGGCAAAUGAACACAGCAUUGCUGUCCCCCUUCAAAGUACGCUACAAGUUCAAAUGGAAAAUAUCAAAUCAGUCAUCUUAUCCAGGAAUUGGUUCUUUGAGAAGAAAAAAGGCCAGAUUGCUUUCACAUGGCACAAAACUUUCCUCCUUUACAUAGAUGUUAAAAUUACAUUCCAAGAAUAAUCUCUGAACAAGACGGGGUUUUGUUCUUUUAAUUGUGGCUGGAAGGAAACUUUUUUUAAUGGAAAUGCAGCAUACACAUAUUUCAAUUCAGGUUAUUAAACUGUGUUAAGUAUUAAAGUUGAUUGCCUUUCUUUUCACUAACUCAUUGUGCUUUUUUAUCCAAAGAAAUAUUAGAAGACUAAAACCUCUGAAAUAGGAGGUAUUAAUCUCAGUCCCAAAAUUAGAAAGCAUGCAGUGUUGAGAGACUGGAUGUCAAAAUUACAUGUUCAUAGUACUUAUGCAAUGGGAAUCUAGGAAACAACCGCUUUUCAAAAUGGGAGCUAAAGUAGAUGGAGAGUCUUCCGAGAGUAAAGCCAUCUAAACUUGGUCUUCUUGUCCUUAUUGGAUUAAGGUAAGGGUAUUUAUCAUUUAUAUCUGCCCCUUGCUUUUUCUCUCUCUCU